GCGGCCUACACAUGCAGUCGAGCGGUAGCACAGAGAGCUUGCUCUCGGGUGACGAGCGGCGGACGGGUGAGUAAUGUCUGGGAAACUGCCUGAUGGAGGGGGAUAACUACUGGAAACGGUAGCUAAUACCGCAUAACGUCGCAGACCAAAGUGGGGGACCUUCGGGCCUCAGCCAUCAGAUGUGCCCAGAUGGGAUUAGCUGGUAGGUGGGGUAACGGCUCACCUAGGCGACGAUCCCUAGCUGGUCUGAGAGGAUGACCAGCCACACUGGAACUGAGACACGGUCCAAACUCCUACGGGAGGCAGCAGUGGGGAAUAUUGCACAAUGGGCGCAGGCCUGAUGCACCCAUGCCGCGAGUGUGAAGAACGCCUUCGGGUUGUAAAGCACUUUCAGCGGGGAGGAAGGCGGUGAGGUUAAUAACCUCAUCGAUUGACGUUACCCGCAGAAGAAGCACCGGCUAACUCUAUGCCAGCAGCCGCGGUAAUACGGAGGGUGCAAGCGUUAAUCGGAAUUACUGGGCGUAAAGCGCACGCAGGCGGUCUGUCAAGUCGGAUGUGAAAUCCCCGGGCUCAACCUGGGAACUGCAUUCGAAACUGGCAGGCUAGAGUCUUGUAGAGGGGGGUAGAAUUCCAGGUGUAGCGGUGAAAUGCGUAGAGAUCUGGAGGAAUACCGGUGGCGAAGGCGGCCCCCUGGACGAAGACUGACGCUCAUGUGCGAACGCGUGGGGAGCAAACAUGAUUAGAUACCCUGGUAGUCCACGCUGUAGGCGAUCUCGAUCUGGAGGUUGUGCCCUUGAAGGCGUGUCUUCCGGAGCUACGCGUUAAAUCGACCGCCCCGCGAGUACAGGACGCAGGUAAACUCAAAUGAAGUCGACUGGGGGCCGCACCAGCGGUGUAUCACGUGCAUUAGUACGAUGCAGCCGCGCAGACCUACCUGUCUUGACAUCCAC
rnacentral:rRNA from 1 species